GCGGCGGUGGUGGAAUGGGCAGACACGUACGUUUGAGGGGCGUAUCCUGCGAGGGGUGCGGGUUCAAGUCCCGCCCGCCGCACCA
rnacentral:tRNA from 1 species